rnacentral:lncRNA from 1 species
CCAUGUCAUAGGCCUUAUCUAACAAAGAUUCCAUGUAUCUAUAUUGUGCUUCCUUGCGCAUCUGAACAUGAUUCUCAACCUGCUUUCAAGAGAGAGGAAAUUUUAGGCACAUCACAGUAAGAUGGAUAAAGCAGUCAAUUUUUGCAUGGUUAAGAUGAGGAUUCUGCAAUUACUAUGUUAGGAAUGUUCAUGUAGUAUUAUUAUCUCUCAACAAAAGCAAGAAAUGCAGAGAAAUAUUUACCUGAAUCUUUUUCAGGGCUCUUCUGCUAGUUCCUGUCUGACUUGAUUCCGCUGAACAGAUUUCCUUUCCCCUACACAUUUAUUACCUGAAGUAAGACAAAGUAUUUAAUGUUUAUUCUUAUGUUCAUGAAACAAGCAGAACUACUCUAUCAUCUUACUUGGUGGCAUGAGUGGGGAAAAUAAUGGGGAACAGGGUUCCAUUUUUCAUGAAUUCAUGUUGUUGUCCAAAG